CUACGGGUUGCUGCAGUGGGGAAUAUUGCACAAUGGGCGCAAGCCUGAUGCAGCCAUGCCGCGUGUAUGAAGAAGGCCUUCGGGUUGUAAAGUACUUUCAGCGGGGAGGAAGGGAGUAAAGUUAAUACCUUUGCUCAUUGUCGUUACCUGCAGAAGAAGCACCGGCUAACUCCGUGCCAGCAGCCGCGGUAAUACGGAGGGUGCAAGCGUUAAUCGGAACUACUGGGCGUAAAGCGCACGCAGGCGGUUUGUUAAGUCAGAUGUGAAAUCCCCGGGCUUAACCUGGGAACUGCAUCUGAUACUGGCAAGCUUGAGUCUCGUAGAGGGGGGUAGAAUUCCAGGUGUAGCGGUGAAAUGCGUAGAGAUCUGGAGGAAUACCGGUGGCGAAGGCGGCCCCCUGGACGAAGACUGACGCUCAGGUGCGAAAGCGUGGGGAGCAAACAGGAUUAGAUACCCGCGUAAUC
rnacentral:rRNA from 1 species